UGCGUAGGCGGAUUAAUAAGUCAGUGGUGAAAUCUUUCGGCUCAACCGAGAAACUGCCAUUGAUACUGUUAAUCUUGAGUUCGGUUGAGGUAGGCGGAAUGUGUAAUGUAGCGGUGAAAUGCUUAGAUAUUACACAGAACACCAAUUGCGUAGGCAGCUUACUAGACCAACACUGACGCUGAGGCACGAAAGCGUGGGGAGCGAACAGGAUUAGAUACCCUGGUAGUCC
rnacentral:rRNA from 1 species